CCUACGGGUGGCAGCAGUGGGGAAUUUUGCGCAAUGGGGGCAACCCUGACGCAGCAACGCCGCGUGAGUGAUGAAGGCCUUCGGGUCGUAAAGCUCUGUCAGAGGGGAAGAAAUGCAGGUGGUGAACAACCAUUCUGUUUGACGGUACCCUCAAAGGAAGCACCGGCUAACUCCGUGCCAGCAGCCGCGGUAAUACGGAGGGUGCGAGCGUUGUUCGGAAUUAUUGGGCGUAAAGCGCGUGUAGGCGGUUUGUUAAGUCUGAGGUGAAAGCCCCGGGCUCAACCUGGGAAGUGCAUUGGAUACUGGCAGACUGGAGUACGGGAGAGGAGAGUGGAAUUCCCAGUGUAGGAGUGAAAUCCGUAGAUAUCAGGAGGACCACCGGUGGCGAAGGCGACUCCCUGGACCGAUACUGACGCUGAGGCGCGAAAGCGGGGGGAGCAAACAGGAUUAGAUCCCCUGGUAGU
rnacentral:rRNA from 1 species